rnacentral:misc_RNA from 1 species
UCUCCGUUGGUGAACCAGCGGAGGGAUCAUUAUCGAGUUUAUAACUCCCAAACCCUAUGUGAACUUACCACUUGUUGCUUCGGCGCGCGCUUCGGUGCCGCCGAGGACACCUAAACUCUUUGUUUUUAUAAGCAUUUCUGAGUGGCCGAAAGGCAAAAUACAAAUGAAUCAAAACUUUCAACAACGGAUCUCUUGGUUCUG